UACGGGAGGCAGCAGUGGGGAAUAUUGCACAAUGGGCGCAAGCCUGAUGCAGCCAUGCCGCGUGUAUGAAGAAGGCCUUCGGGUUGUAAAGUACUUUCAGUCGUGAGGAAGGUGUUAAGGUUAAUAACCUUAGCAAUUGACGUUAGCGACAGAAGAAGCACCGGCUAACUCCGUGCCAGCAGCCGCGGUAAUACGGAGGGUGCGAGCGUUAAUCGGAAUUACUGGGCGUAAAGGGCACGCAGGCGGUUAAUUAAGUUGGAUGUGAAUCCCCGGGCUUAACCUGGGAAUGGCAUUCAAGACUGGUUAGCUAGAGUCUUGUAGAGGGGGUAGAAUUCCAUGUGUAGCGGUGAAAUGCGUAGAGAUGUGGAGGAAUACCGGUGGCGAAGGCGGCCCCUGGGACAAAGGCUGACGCUCAUGUGCGAAAGCGUGGGGAGCGAAACAGGGAUUAGA
rnacentral:rRNA from 1 species